rnacentral:tRNA from 1 species
AGGGAGUUAGCUGAGUGGUGUAGCAGUAAAUUUACACUUUACAGACAGAGUUUCGAUUACUCUACUCCUUA